GUGGGGAAUAUUCCGCAAUGGACGAAAGUCUGACGGAGCAACGCCGCGUGAGUGAUGAAGGUUUUCGGACUGUAAAGCUCUGUUGUUUAGGACGAAAGUGCCUGUUGCAAAUAGUAACAGGUAUUGACGGUACUGAACGAGGAAGCCACGGCUAACUACGUGCCAGCAGCCGCGGUAAUACGUAGGUGGCAAGCGUUGUCCGGAAUUAUUGGGCGUAAAGAGCAUGUAGGCGGGAAUCUAAGUCUGUUGUGAAAAUGCGGGGCUCAACCCCGUAUUGCGAUGGAAACUGGGUUUCUUGAGUGCAGGAGAGGAAAGGGGAAUUCCCAGUGUAGCGGUGAAAUGCGUAGAUAUUGGGAGGAACACCAGUGGCGAAGGCGCCUUUCUGGACUGUGUCUGACGCUGAGAUGUGAAAGCCAGGGUAGCGAACGGGAUUAGAAACCCCGGUAGUCC
rnacentral:rRNA from 1 species